AUAUCUCUCUGUACGGGAAGGAUGAGAAGCUUCUACCAGGGUUCGAUUCGAGCGCAGCGAGAAAGCGUUGCCGCAGGCAACGACCCGAAGGGCGAAGCGCGCAGCGCUGAGUCAUC
rnacentral:sRNA from 6 species